AGUGAACGCUGGCGGUAGGCCUAACACAUGCAAGUCGAACGGCAGCACAGUAAGAGCUUGCUCUUACGGGUGGCGAGUGGCGGACGGGUGAGGAAUACAUCGGAAUCUACUUUUUCGUGGGGGAUAACGUAGGGAAACUUACGCUAAUACCGCAUACGACCUACGGGUGAAAGCAGGGGAUCUUCGGACCUUGCGCGAUUGAAUGAGCCGAUGUCGGAUUAGCUAGUUGGCGGGGUAAAGGCCCACCAAGGCGACGAUCCGUAGCUGGUCUGAGAGGAUGAUCGGCCACACUGGAACUUGGACACGGUCCAGACUCCUACGGGAGGCAGCAGUGGGGAAUAUUGGACAUUGGGCGCAAGCCUGAUCCAGCCAUACCGCGUGGGUGAAGAAGGCCUUCGGGUUGUAAAGCCCUUUUGUUGGGAAAGAAAAGCAGCAGGUUAAUACCCCGCUGUUCUGACGGUACCCAAAGAAUAAGCACCGGCUAACUUCGUG
rnacentral:rRNA from 1 species